AUUGAACGCUGGCGGCAUGCCUUACACAUGCAAGUCGAACGGUAACGCGGGGCAACCUGGCGACGAGUGGCGACCGGGUGAGUAAUGUGUCGGAACGUGCCCAGUUGUGGGGGAUAACUGCUCGAAAGAGCAGCUAAUACCGCAUACGACCUGAGGGUGACAGAGGGGGAUCGCAAGACCUCGCGCAAUUGGAGCGGCCGAUAUCGGAGUAGGUAGUUGGUGGGGUAAAGGCCCACCAAGCCAACGAUCUGUAGCUGGUCUGAGAGGACGACCAGCCACACUGGAACUGAGACACGGCCCAGACUCCUACGGGAGGCAGCAGUGGGGAAUUUUGGACAAUGGACGCAAGUCUGAUCCAGCCAUGCCGCGUGCGGGAAGAAGGCCUUCGGGUUGUAAACCGCUUUUGUCAGGGAAGAAAAGGGCGACUCUAAUACAGUUGCCUCAUGACGGUACCUGAAGAAUAAGCACCGGCUAACUACGUGCCAGCCGCCGCGGUAAAAC
rnacentral:rRNA from 1 species